rnacentral:rRNA from 1 species
UACGAAGGGGGCUAGCGUUGCUCGGAAUCACUGGGGCGUAAAGCGCACGUAGGCGGAUCUUUAAGUCAGGGGUGAAAUCCUGGAGCUCAACUCCAGAACUGCCUUUGAUACUGGGGAUCUCGAGUCCGGGAGAGGUGAGUGGAACUCCGAGUGUAGAGGUGAAAUUCGUAGAUAUUCGGAAGAACACCAGUGGCGAAGGCGGCUCACUGGCCCGGUACUGACGCUGAGGUGCGAAAGCGUGGGGAGCAAACAGG